UCCGCCCGCUGGCGGCGUGCCUAAUACAUGCAAGUUGAGCGCUGAAGGUUGGUACUUGUACCAACUGGAUGAGCAGCGAACGGGUGAGUAACGCGUGGGGAAUCUGCCUUUGAGCGGGGGACAAAAUUUGGAGACGAAUGCUAAUACCGCAUAAAAACUUUAAACACAAGUUUUAAGUUUGAAAGAUGCAAUUGCAUCACUCAAAGAUGAUCCCGCGUUGUAUUAGCUAGUUGGUGAGGUAAAGGCUCACCAAGGCGAUGAUACAUAGCCGACCUGAGAGGGUGAUCGGCCACAUUGGGACUGAGACACGGCCCAAACGCCUACGGGAGGCAGCAGUAGGGAAUCUUCGGCAAUGGACGAAAGUCUGACCGAGCAACGCCGCGUGAGUGAAGAAGGUUUUCGGAUCGUAAAACUCUGUUGGUAGAGAAGGACGUUGGUGAGAGUGGAAAGCUCAUCAAGUGACGGUAACUACCCAGAAAGGGACGGCUAACUACGU
rnacentral:rRNA from 1 species